rnacentral:rRNA from 1 species
GAUGAACGCUAGCGGCAGGCUUAAUACAUGCAAGUCGAGGGGGCAGCAGUCCCGCAGCAAUGCGGGAGCUGGCGACCGGCAAACGGGUGCGGAACACGUACAGAACCUUCCUUCGAGCGGGGAAUAGCCCAGAGAAAUUUGGAUUAAUACCCCAUAGCAUUACGAAGUGGCAUCACUUUGUAAUUAAAGAUUUAUCACUCGAAGAUGGCUGUGCGGCUGAUUAGGUAGUUGGCGGAGUAACGGCCCACCAAGCCUUCGAUCAGUAACUGGUGUGAGAGCACGACCAGUCACACGGGCACUGAGACACGGGCCCGACUCCUACGGGAGGCAGCAGUAAGGAAUAUUGGUCAAUGGACGAAAGUCUGAACCAGCCAUGCCGCGUGGAGGA